CGGGCAUCAGUCCGGGCGUUACA
rnacentral:miRNA from 1 species